AAAGUAGAAGUUUAUAUAAUAUUUGACCUGCAAUCAGAAGAAGAUAGAAAAAUCUGUCCUACUUUG
rnacentral:tRNA from 1 species